UACAGGGGGUGCAAACGUUGCUCGGAAUUAUUGGGCGUAAAGCGCACGUAGGCGGUCUGUUAUGUCGGAUGUGAAAGCCCUUGGCUUAACUAAGGAAGUGCAUCCGAAACUGGCAGGCUAGAGUACUAAAGAGGGUCGCGGAAUUCCCGGUGUAGAGGUGAAAUUCGUAGAUAUCCGGAGGAACACCAGUGGCGAAGGCGGCUUCCUGGACCGGCACUGACGCUGAGGCGCGAAAGCUAGGGGAGCAAACGGG
rnacentral:rRNA from 1 species